rnacentral:pre_miRNA from 1 species
CGCGUCGGUCCCGUGUUCUGUGACUGACUCGGCUGUCACAGAACACGGGACCGGCCGUGG